UACGUAGGGUGCAAGCGUUAAUCGGAAUUACUGGGCGUAAAGCGUGCGCAGGCGGUUUUGUAAGCCAGAUGUGAAAUCCCCGGGCUUAACCUGGGAAUGGCAUUUGGGACUGCAAGGCUGGAGUGUGGCAGAGGAGACUGGAAUUCCUGGUGUAGCAGUGAAAUGCGUAGAUAUCGGGAGGAACACCGGUGGCGAAGGCGGCAAUCCUGGACCGGCAUUGACGCUGAGGCGCGAAAGCUAGGGGAGCAAACGGGG
rnacentral:rRNA from 1 species